UGCGGAAGGAUCAUUACUGAUUUGCUUAAUUGCACCACAUGUGUUUUUCUUUGAAACAAACUUGCUUUGGCGGUGGGCCCAGCCUGCCGCCAGAGGUCUAAACUUACAACCAAUUUUUUAUCAACUUGUCACACCAGAUUAUUACUAAUAGUCAAAACUUUCAACAACGGAUCUCUUGGUUCUCGCAUCGAUGAAGAACGCAGCGAAAUGCGAUACGUAAUAUGAAUUGCAGAUAUUCGUGAAUCAUCGAAUCUUUGAACGCACAUUGCGCCCUCUGGUAUUCCGGAGGGCAUGCCUGUUUGAGCGUCGUUUCUCCCUCAAACCGCUGGGUUUGGUGUUGAGCAAUACGACUUGGGUUUGCUUGAAAGACGGUAGUGGUAAGGCGGGAUCGCUUUGACAAUGGCUUAGGUCUAACCAAAAACAUUGCUUGCGGCGGUAACGUCUACCACGUAUAUCUUCAAACUUUGACCUCAAAUCA
rnacentral:misc_RNA from 1 species